rnacentral:rRNA from 1 species
UGGGGAAUUUUGCACAAUGGGGGAAACCCUGAUGCAGCGACGCCGCGUGAUUUAGAAGGCCUUCGGGUUGUAAAAAUCUUUUCUAUGGGAAGAAAAUGACAGUACCAUAGGAAUAAGGACCGGCUAAUUACGUGCCAGCAGCCGCGGUAAUACGUAAGGUCCGAGCGUUGUCCGGAAUCAUUGGGCGUAAAGGGUACGUAGGCGGGUGAGCAAGUUAGAAGUGAAAUCCUAUAGCUCAACUAUAGUAAGCUUUUAAAACUGCUCAUCUUGAGGUAUGGAAGGAAAAGUGGAAUUCCUAGUGUAGCGGUGAAAUGCGCAGAUAUUAGGAGGAAUACAGGUGGCGAAGGCGAGUUUCUGGCCAUAACCUGACGCUGAGGUACGAAAGCGUGGGUAGCAAACAGG